rnacentral:rRNA from 1 species
GACGAACGCUGGCGGCGUGCCUAAUACAUGCAAGUAGAACGCACAGUUUAUACCGUAGCUUGCUACACCAUAAACUGUGAGUUGCGAACGGGUGAGUAACGCGUAGGUAACCUGCCUGGUAGCGGGGGAUAACUAUUGGAAACGAUAGCUAAUACCGCAUAAUAUUGAUUAUUGCAUGAUAAUUGAUUGAAAGAUGCUAUUGCAUCACUACCAGAUGGACCUGCGUUGUAUUAGCUAGUAGGUGAGGUAACGGCUCACCUAGGCGACGAUACAUAGCCGACCUGGGAGGGUGAUCGGCCACACUGGGACUGAGACACGGCCCAGACUCCUACGGGAGGCAGCAGGAGGGAAUCUUCGGCAAUGGACGAAAGUCUGACCGAGCAACGCCGCGGGAGGGAAGAAGGUUUUCGGAUCGUAAAGCUCUGUUGUAAGAGAAGAACGGGUGUGAGAGUGGAAAGUUCACACUGUGACGGUAUCUUACCAGAAAGGGACGGCUAACUACGUG